rnacentral:rRNA from 1 species
AUUGAACGCUGGCGGCAGGCCUAACACAUGCAAGUCGAGCGGAUGAAGGGAGCUUGCUCCUGGAUUCAGCGGCGGACGGGUGAGUAAUGCCUAGGAAUCUGCCUGGUAGUGGGGGAUAACGUCCGGAAACGGGCGCUAAUACCGCAUACGUCCUGAGGGAGAAAGUGGGGGAUCUUCGGACCUCACGCUAUCAGAUGAGCCUAGGUCGGAUUAGCUAGUUGGUGGGGUAAAGGCCUACCAAGGCGACGAUCCGUAACUGGUCUGAGAGGAUGAUCAGUCACACUGGAACUGAGACAGGGACCAGACUCCUACGGGAGGCAGCAGUGGGGAAUAUUGGACAAUGGGCGAAAGCCUGAUCCAGCCAUGCCGCGUGUGUGAAGAAGGUCUUCGGAUUGUAAAGCACUUUAAGUUGGGAGAAAGGGCAGUAAGUUAAUACCUUGCUGUUUUGACGUUACCAACAGAAUAAGCACCGGCUAACUUCGUG